AUUGAACGCUGGCGGCAGGCCUAACACAUGCAAGUCGAACGAGUGGCGGACGGGUGAGUAAUGUCUGGGAAACUGCCCGAUGGAGUGGGAUAACUACUGGAAACGGUAGCUAAUACCGCAUACCAUCGGAUGUGCCCAGAUGGGAUUAGCUUGUAGGUGAGGUAACGGCUCACCUAGGCGACGAUCCCUAGCUGGGCUGAGAGGAUGACCAGCAAAACUGGAACUGAGACACGGUCCAGACUCCUAGGGAAGGCAGCAGUGGGGAAUAUGGCACGAGGGGCGAAAGCCGGAUGUAGCCAUGCCGCGUGUGUGAAGAAGGCCUUAGGGUUGUAAAGUACUUUCAGCGGGUAGGCGUUACCCGCAGAAGAAGCACCCGCUCACUCCGUGCCAGCAGCCGCGGUAAUUC
rnacentral:rRNA from 1 species